rnacentral:rRNA from 1 species
AACCGAGAACUCCUACGGGAGGCAGCAGUGGGGAAUAUUGGACAAUGGGGGGAACCCUGAUCCAGCCAUGCCGCGUGUGUGAAGAAGGCCUUUUGGUUGUAAAGCACUUUAAGCGAGGAGGAGGCUCUUCUAGUUAAUACCUAGGAUGAGUGGACGUUACUCGCAGAAUAAGCACCGGCUAACUCUGUGCCAGCAGCCGCGGUAAUACAGAGGGUGCAAGCGUUAAUCGGAUUUACUGGGCGUAAAGCGUGCGUAGGUGGCCAAUUAAGUCAAAUGUGAAAUCCCCGAGCUUAACUUGGGAAUUGCAUUCGAUACUGGUUGGCUAGAGUAUGGGAGAGGAUGGUAGAAUUCCAGGUGUAGCGGUGAAAUGCGUAGAGAUCUGGAGGAAUACCGAUGGCGAAGGCAGCCAUCUGGCCUAAUACUGACACUGAGGUACGAAAGCAUGGGGAGCAAACAGGAUUAGAAACCCUAGUAGUCCGACUGAGA